UUUUUUUUUUUUUUUUUUUUUUUUGGCUGUGCCUGCAGCAUACAGAAGUUCCCAGGCCAGGAAUCGAACCCACACCACAGCAGUGAAAAUACUGGAUCCUCAACUCGCUGUGCCGCCAGGGAAAUCCCCCUUCAGGGAUCUUUAACAGCACAGGGCCCAGAGCAGAACAGAGGUUGAGGAGGAGGAGACCAGAGCAGAGGUAUGGGUUGGACCUUGAGUCCGCAAGACAUGCAUAUAAACUGGUCUCCUUAUUUUAUACUCUGACCUUUACACUUACAUUUUCAGGAUUCAGUGUAAGAGCCCAUUUGCGUAGGCAGAAAGAACUACUACAGUUGAUCCUCAUCACUUGCAAAUUCCCUACAUGUGACUCAUCAAACUCACUAAAAUGUACGUAUAACCCCCAAAUCAAUACUUGAGGUUUUUUUCAAGUUUUGGCGGACAUGCGCAUGUACAGACUAGUGAAAACUUUAAGUGCCCCCCAUCCUGUGCCCAAGUUCUUGGCUGAAGUGGAACAAAGGUUUUCAGUUCUCAUUAUAUAAGCAAGAGUGCUUUUUUGCAGCUUAUUCAGCGCUGCAUUUUUCAUAUCUCUGUGCUUUCUGUUGGUGAUUUUGCUGUUUAAAAUCACCUCCAAGAACAGCACUGGACUUUCUGAUGCCCCUAAAAGCAAGAAAAGCUGGGAUAUGCAUUAUGGUGAAAAUACACGUGUGAGAGAAGCUUCUUCCAGGCCUGAGUUAUAGUGCUGUUGGCCAUGAGUUUUCAAAGUUCAUUAUCUAUAAAUUAUAAUAUUUAUAUUAAAAUGCAUAAUAUAUAUUAUGAAUUAUAAUUAUGAAUUAGUCUAUAUGCGAUGCUAUAAUAUAAACAGUAUUCAAUAUUGAGCUCAUGGCCAAGAGUACCAUAACUCAGCCUAAAGGAAGCUUAUCUGAGUCUUGUACAAAAUAUCUAACACGCACACAUAUAUAAUAAGGUGUCCUUAAACAGAAAUUCACAUAAAACAAGGUUAUAUAUUGAUCAACUGACAAAAAUGUUGUGACCAGAGGUUUGUAGGAACCCAGUCCUGGAUUUCACUGAAAGACAAUGGUUCAAUAUUUGCUAAUUCAGUGUUCACAGGCACUGUAUGGGAUGUAACUGCCACACAUAAUAACUGUAUUAAUAUUUUCAGAAGUGAAAUGAAAUCAACAAUAAUGAUAAUAUUUUAAUGUAUUGAGCACUUGCUCAGAGACUUUUCCAAGUGUCUUAUACUUAUUAGCUAUUUUAAUUUUUGUAACAACCAUAUGAGGAAGGUAUUAUUAUUGGUAUUCCACAGAGGAGGAAACAAAGACACAAAACGAUGUUAUCCCCUCAGGAUUAGAUAGCUAAUUAAAUGACAGAGACAGAAUUUGAAACCAGGUGACUGCAUAUAUACUUGUCCCCCCCACCCCAACUCUGGAAUUAAAGGCGCCCUCUUUGUAAGUUCCAGUGUCAUCACUGCCUGUUCUCUAAUUGAAGCCACUUGGAUAAGGAUUUUCCUUGUUGGGUCAUGGGUGUUAUUUUCACUAGCUUCUAUGAGCUGUUAAGUUGGUCCUUUGAUCUGGACACCUGUUUCAGUAUCCUGAUGGUUCAAUCUUCAGGACAGAAUUGCCUCCAUUCCAGAUGGAUAGAUCAUGCAAGGCAAGGUGGAUCAUUAACACAAAUGAUCUCGGACCUCUCAGUACUAUUUAUUCAACUUCCCAUAAACCUAUAACUGUCACAAAAAAAAAAAAAAAAAAAGGUUUUCAAAAUGACCUUUAAAAUCCCUUCUAAACUUGAAAUUCCAUGAUACCCUCCAGUGUUGAUGCUUAGCACUGGAUGAUAGACUUGUUCACCUUCAACUCCAAAGGACCAGGCAGUGAGUGAUGACAGUGUAUCAGCCCUUCACUGGUGCCUAGGAAAAUCAAUUUCUAGGUGGUGACACCCCCAAUUAAGUCUGAGACUAAUUCAAGACAAUGUAGCUACAUAGAUACUGUGAGGUCACCUUCAGAAGAAGGCUGAGUUAACAAAACAGAAGCAGGCCACAUCUGUGCCAGAGUAGCCUUCAACAAUAUUACCACAACGGGUGUGAUUUGCCUUAAAACAGCCUCAACUUCCUUUGUAGCAGCAGCAAAAUAUAACCACCCGUCUAAACAUCCAAAGUUGCUAUAAGACAAUAUGGACAGGAGACAAUUCAAAAAAACUAAAUACAUAAACAAAACAAAACAAAAACUACAUAACGUUUUCCCUCUUGAUGCACCAUAUAGUGAAAUAUUUAUCGAGAUGUCUAAACUACUCAUCUGAAAUACAAUGUGCCCCGUAUGAAUUUGUGGAUGUCCUAAUUUUCAGGACAUACACUUUUAGCUGAUUUAUUUAAAUAGCUUUUGGGAUUUCUAAUUACACUGUUUAUAACCACAAAAAUGUUGUCAGUGAAAAAUGAAUGCACAAAACCUAGCCAAAAGAACAAGAAAACUCAAAACACUUGAGGCUAUCCAGCCAUUUCUUAUUUUGAUGACUCAUGAAAUCUACUGGCUAAGGAUUGCAGGCAAUGUUUUAAAUGUUCUUAUUAAAAAUCACAGAGGUAGCUGCUGGUUUAUUACAUGAACAGCUAUAAUACAAUGGAAUUAAUUUUUGGAAAUUACAUAUCCAGCAGUCUAUGAAGGUCAUUCUUACCAAAUACUAAGCCAUCAACCAAAAUGCUAAUGCCUCACAUGUAUUCAAUAUUGAUAUGACCAAGUUUCAAUCAUGUUUUGUGUUCCUCUUGCUGAAAUCUGUGAUCAAGUAUUCAUAGCCUCAAAAGACUGGAAAAAGUUUUAUCUAUGUCAGUGUGAUAUCACAUUUCAAAAGGUGCAAAAUAACACCAGGGAAAAGCCAGUUGGCCACAGAAAGAAGCCCUACAAGGUGACAUAUUCCCAACUAUACUUACAUUUUCUUACUUAUUGUAUUUGUCUAUAUAUUUACCAAUGUGAUUACUCAAAAAGUUUGUAUUUUACUUUCUGGUUUGAACCACACUGACCUCUCAAGUUAAAUGUAUUUUUCCAAACUUGGGUCAUCCAGCAAUGAACUCUUCUAGAUCCAACCUAAGCCUUUCCCUGGAAAUGACGUGUAAGAUGAAUCUAAGCACAAUGCUUGCAUGUUUGGAAAUGUUCAAGAUAUUUGAAUUUCAAACUUUCAGCCUUCUUAUAAGGCUUGAUUGAUUUAAAGUGGAAACUGAAAGCAACUACCUGAUAUAUUUGAGAUUGAAGAACUCUCUUCAAGGAAGAGCUAAUGAAUAUGUAUUCUUUUCAAAACAGUGCUUAGGCUUUGUCCAUACAUAACAGUACAGAACAUUUUCAGUGAUAAAUUGAAAGCUAUGUCCAUGAAAGAAGUACUUGCUAAGCUAGACUUCAUUCAGAUUAAAAACUUCUCCACAAAAGACACUGUCAGGAGAAUGAGAAGACAAACCAAAGACUGGGAGAAAAAUCUUUGCCAAAAAAAACACACCUUAUAAAGGACUGUUAUUGAAAAUGGACCAAGAAACUGUUAAAACUCCAUGGUAGGAAAAAAACAACCCCAUUAAAACAUGGGUCAAAGACCUUGAGUAACAUCUCACCACAGAAGAUAUACAGAUGACAGAAAAUGUACAGAAAAGAUACUCUACAUCAUGUCAUCGGGGACAUGCAGAUUAAAAUGAGAUGCUACGACACCCCUAUUAGGAUGGUCAAAAUCCAGAAUGCUUGAAAUACCAAAUGCUGGUGAGGAUGUGAAACAAUGUAUCACUGCACGAGGGAAUGCCAAAUGGUACAGCCACUUUGAACGUUUCUUACAAAACUAAACAUACUCUUAGAGCAUGAUCUUGCAGGUGUGCUCUUUAAUAUUUACUGAAAGGAGUUUAAAAACAUGUCCAUACAAAAACCUGCACAUGGAUGUUUCUACCACUUUAUUCCUAAAUGCUAAAACUUGGACGUAACCAAGAUGUCCUUCGGUGGGUGGUACAUACAGAUGAGGGAAUAUUAUUUAGGGCUAAAAAAAAAAAUGAGCUCAUGAAAAGACACAGAGGAAAUUUAAAUACAUAUUACUAAACAAAAGAUGCCAAUGGGAAAAGGCGACAUACUGUGUGAUUUCAGCUAUAUGAUAUUCUGGAAAAGGCAAAACUAUGAAGACAGUAAAAAAGAUCAGUGGUUACCAAGGCUUGGGUGAGGCGUAGAUGAAUAGACAGAGCACAGGGGAUUGUUAGAGCAGUCAGUACAUGCUGUAUGAUGCCAUAAUCAUGGAUACAUGCCACUUACAACAUCAGGAAUGAACUUGAAUAUAAACUGUAGAUUUGGGGUGAGUACGAUUUAUCAGUGUAGGUACAUCAAUUGCAACAAAUGCACCACUCUGGUGGAGGAUGUUGAUAAUUGGGGUCAGGAAUUCUAUGGGAAAUCUCUGUAUGCCCCCCUCGAUUUUGCUGUCAGCCUUAAACUACUCAUUAAAAACAAUAUAUUUAAAAAGAUGAAGGCCACUAUUGAAAACCAAGGAUUUCUAAAUUUUGAUCAUAAAAUUUGAGUGGUACCCUCAAUAAUCAUUGCACUACCUGAAAAUAUGAGUUAGCCAUGCUGGCCAAAUAUAUAGAGCAUAAUGUAAGCAGAUGAUUCUUUGACCUUGCUUUCAUAAAUCAGGAAAUGAUACAGUUGCCUGAUUUAUCAUAGUCAUUGCAGCCAUGGUUAUCAGACCACAUUUGUUGAAUUUUCCUUGAAGGCCAAAUCAAAACAUUAUCAGCCUACAGAACUAUUCAUAGACUUUCUUUGUUCUCUGACUAUUCCCAUGGUCACCAUUCACCCACCAGUAAGACUACGAGAUAUCAUUUAAUAUUUAUACUUUCCCAUUUUAUUAAAACUGUCAUUUCUGUCAAGUCUAAUUUUUCUGGGGCACAACUCAAUUUCUUUUUAGAUCCUGAGCCUGGCAGCCCCUGUUAAUCUGAAUGUUUAAGCUCUAUUAUUCUAUUGUGUG
rnacentral:lncRNA from 1 species